UCAUCCAGCCCUGUCCUAGUCAGACCCUCACUGCUGGCACCUUGUCUCCAGCCUGGCCUUUGGUCCUUUCUCCUCAACAGACCUUGGACACACACUGCUGGAGGGUCCAACUCCUGCUGCUCCCAGCUGGACCCUGCUUGGACUCUGGACCUGGCUCAGCCCCAGCCAUGCUGGGGCUGUCAUCGGAACCUGUCACCUCCCCCAGCUCUGCCCACCCGGCUCAGACCCCAGGGGACAGCACCCCAUCAGCAAGGGCAUGGCCUCCGAUGGGGUCACCCUGGCUCAGCGCCCCUCCUGGAGCAGCCCCUCUGGCACCGCACCCUGGAAGAGCAGUAAAAAAGAGCAGGUAUCUGCAGAAAAAUACUGAUCAUCUAUACUCUGAAAAACUAUCUUCAAGGUAUUUCAGGCAAAUAAGAGCUGUAUAUAAAAUCACGAGACUCCAUGAAAAACAGGUACCUUGGCUGAAAUUUGCAUGGAAGGAAACAUUGAUUUAUUUCUGGAAGGUUUGAGCAAUGACAGCAAAUCCUGGCUCUCCCCACAGAGCAAGCCCCUCCCACUGAUCAGGACCUUGAUUCCUCUAGCUACAACGGAGCUCUCUAUCAGAAGUACUCCAGGAUUUCUUUUUGUGAGAGCCAUGUUGCAAAUGAUAUAGGACUAGACUGCUGCUGGACCCUACUCGAACAGGGAUAGAGGUUGACUGGCAGAAGACUUUGGCUCUUUUUAUCCCCCUCGCUGUAUACAAUAUAUGUUUGCAUUUAUAUUUGCUUUUGUACACAGGGUUUGUUCAUCCAUUCAGCAAACACAAAUCAUUCCUCUGUUGUAGCUUCCCCUUCACCAAGCUGUUCUCCCUGUUUUCUGGAAAAGUGGAGGGGCAGCUGAGCUUCUGGAAAUCCAGGUAUCCCAUUAGCGCUGGUUCCUACUCUGGAGUACUCAACUUGUCAGUGUCAAUGUUCUUCAUCUUUUCCUUCAUAUGUAUGAUCUAUGCAAUCAACUGCACAGCUUCACUUCUGUUACAAGGAAUUUUACUAAUUAACUCAUUUAUAGUCUAACUAGUCCCAAGCCUAAAGUGAAGACAUUUCACCAUUAGAAUAUUUUUAAAGCACUUUUUCAAUUAUUAGGGAUAUUUAACUUUAUUUGAACAGCUGUAGAACUGACAUGACUGGGGUUCAAACGUGUACAUUUGGCAUCAAGUCGUCCUUCCUUUAAUUGCAAAUUAGUGUAAAUCUAGCCUUCAUAAAGCCACAGAGGCAAGAAGAUGUCAAAGACUAUUACACUGUGGUGUGUUAGAAUGGUGCAUGAAACAUUCGGUAAAGACUCAUCUCAAUUAUAGGAGUAUAAUAGACAGCUUGUAUUUUUCAAAAUGACUGGGAGGAGAGUUGGAGAUGCCAAUUAAUACCCUAUUCCCUAUCUUCCUAUAGCAUGGGCCAAAUGACUUGUCCUGCUGGUGGGAAACAUGUGCCUGUUUGCUCUUGUUCAAACAGCCUAAAGAACAAAGCCAUGUAGUGACUU
rnacentral:lncRNA from 1 species